AGAAGCAGAAAAGUAUUUAAAAGGCCACGAGCCAGCGUAUCUGCUGAACUACUCAACUACACCUGCAGCUACAGCAAAAGUCGGCUACAGCAAAGCAAUUCCGCUGUCUGGUUCGAAGAUACACCUGUCUGCGAUAAUGAAGAUCUUCACAACCUUCACUUUGCUGGCCAUUCUCAGCGUGCUUGCAGUUCUACAUUUCGCAAGUGCAGAGGAAGGACUGGACCAGCACCAUCGAGUCUCCCGUGAUGCCGGUUGCCCUGACUUGAAAGCCUGCACGAAAAAGUGCCAAAGUGAAGGUCAUCGCACGGGCACUUGCAAGGGAAUACGUAGGACUCGCUGCCUUUGCGCAAAUUAGGUUUGCCUUUUUUGAACAUGAAAAUAAAAAAAAUUUCGGUUCUUGUGGGCGCA
rnacentral:lncRNA from 1 species